rnacentral:rRNA from 1 species
AAAUUAAAUUCUUAUUUUUUGAAUAAGUUAUUAUUUUAUUGAUAGAAAUAACUUUAUUUUUAAGUAGAUUUUAUUGAAAUAAUAUUUUAUGUUAUAGUGAAGAGUACUGUGAAGGGUAGAUAUUGUUUUAUUUAUAAGUAAUUAUAAUUUAAUGUACCUUUUGUAUCAGGGUUAAUUAAAUUAUCAUAUUUAUUAUAGGUUUCCCGAAAUUAGGAGAGUUAUAAUUAAAAUGUUAGUUAAUGUGUCAUAAUUAUUGAUGAUUUAAUUAUAGUGAUGAGAUGUCAUUCGUUCUUGAAUAUCUGGUUUUCUUGGAAUUAAAUUUAAUUUAGGAUCUUUAAUUAUAAUUGGGAAUUAUAAUUCAUUUAUUUUAAAGUUCUAACAUUUUUGGGGAUAAGCUCGGGAAUGGUUAUAUAAGUAAUUGUGUUUGUUGAAAUUUAGUAGGCUUGAAAUCAGCCAUCAUUUACUUCGUUACAGAAAGUUUUCUAUAGGUAUUUAUUUAAUUUUCUUUAUUUGUUUACUUGAAUGACUUAAUUAAUGAUGAAUUUUGUGUAAUAAUGAUUAAAUUAGUAUUUUAGUUAAUUAAAUUAUAGGAACUCGGCAAAUCUAGUGUUCGCCUGUUUAACAAAAACAUGUCCUUUUGUUUGUUUAUUUAAGGUCUAACCUGCCCAAUGAGGAAUUGAAUGGCCGCAGUAUUUUAACUGUGCUAAGGUAGCAUAAUCAUUUGUCUUUUAAUUGAGGGCUGGAAUGAAAGGUUGGACGAGACAUUAGCUUUCUUUAAUUUAAUUGAAAGAAUUUAAUUUUUGAGUCAAAAAGCUUAAAUAUAUUUGUUGGACGAGAAGACCCUAUAGAUCUUUAUAGUCUUAUGUUUUUGUAUUUUAGGGAAUAUCUAUAUUUAAAGCAAAAGGAUUAUUUUGUUGGGGUGACUAUGGAAUUAUAAUAACUUCUGUUUGUUGGAUUCAUUAAUUAGUGUUUUAUUGAUCCAUAAAUUUGUGAUUAAAAGAUUAAGUUACCUUAGGGAUAACAGCGUAAUUUUUUCGGAGAGUUCAUAUUGAUGAAGAAGUUUGCGACCUCGAUGUUGGAUUAAAAUAAGUUAUGGAUGUAGGAGUCUAUUUACUAGGUCUGUUCGACCUUUAAAUUUUUACAUGAUCUGAGUUCAGACCGGCGUGAGCCAGGUCAGUUUCUAUCUUCAAUUUAUUAAUACAUUCUAGUACGAAAGGACCGUAUGUAUGGAAUAAUUUUUUUAUUUUUGAUUAAUAUU